rnacentral:rRNA from 1 species
GACGAACGCUGGCGGCGUGCUUAACACAUGCAAGUCGAACGGAAAGGCCCUGCUUGCCGGGUACUCGAGUGGCGAACGGGUGAGUAACACGUGGGUGAUCUGCCCUGCACUUCGGGAUAAGCCUGGGAAACUGGGUCUAAUACCGGAUAGGAGCCAUUUUUAGUGUGAUGGUUGGAAAGUUUUUUCGGUGUAGGAUGAGCUCGCGGCCUAUCAGCUUGUUGGUGGGGUAAUGGCCUACCAAGGCGGCGACGGGUAGCCGGACUGAGAGGGUGGACGGCCACACUGGGACUGACAGGAGGCCGAGGCGCCUACGGGAGGCAACAGGGGGGAAGAUUGCCCAAGGGGCGCCAGCCUGAUGCAGAGGCGCCGCGGGGGGGAUGACUGCCUUCGGGUUGGAAACUCCAUUCGCUAGGGACGAAGCUUUUUGUGACGGUACCUAGAUAAGAAGCACCGGCUAACUACGUG